rnacentral:rRNA from 1 species
UACGGAGGGUGCGAGCGUUAAUCGGAAUUACUGGGCGUAAAGCGUGCGCAGGCGGUUCGUUGUGUCGGCGGUGAAAGCCCCGGGCUUAACCUGGGAACGGCCGUUGAAACUGGCGAACUGGAGUGUGGCAGAGGGGGGUGGAAUUCCGCGUGUAGCAGUGAAAUGCGUAGAGAUGCGGAGGAACACCGAUGGCGAAGGCAGCCCCCUGGGCUAACACUGACGCUCAGGCACGAAAGCUAGGGGAGCAAACAGG